rnacentral:rRNA from 1 species
CCUACGGGAGGCAGCAGUGGGGAAUAUUGCACAAUGGGGGAAACCCUGAUGCAGCGACGCCGCGUGAGUGAAGAAGGAUUUCGGUAUGUAAAGCUCUAUCAGCAGGGAAGAAAAGGACGGUACAUGAGUAAGAAGCCCCGGCUAACGACGUGCCAGCAGCCGCGGUAAUACGUAGGGGGCAAGCGUUAGCCGGAUUUACUGGGUGUCAAGGGAGCGGAGACGGCAGCACAAGUCUGGAGUGAAAUGCCGGGGCUUCACCCCGGACCGGCUUUUGAAACUGUGCAGCUAGAGUGCAGGAGAGUUAAGUGGAAUUCCUUGUGUAGCGGUGCACUGCGUUGCUUUUAGGAGGACCCCCAGUGGCGAAGGCGGCUUACUGGACUGUACCUGACGUUGCGGCUCGAACGCGUGGGGAGCCAACAGGAUUAGAUACCCCAGUAGUC